GAUGAACGCUGGCGGCGUGCCUAAUACAUGCAAGUCGAGCGAACGGACGAGAAGCUUGCUUUUCUGAUGUUAGCGGCGGACGGGUGAGUAACACGUGGAUAACCUACCUAUAAGACUGGGAUAACUUCGGGAAACCGGAGCUAAUACCGGAUAAUAUUUUGAACCGCAUGGUUCAAAAGUGAAAGACGGUCUUGCUGUCACUUAUAGAUGGAUCCGCGCUGCAUUAGCUAGUUGGUAAGGUAACGGCUUACCAAGGCAACGAUGCAUAGCCGACCUGAGAGGGGGAUCGGCCACACGGAAACGGAGCCCCGGCCCAACCCCCUACGGAGGGCGGCAGUAGGGAUUCUCCGGCAUGGGGCGAAGCCCUGACGGGGCAACGCGGCUGGAGUGAUGAAGUUCUCCGAAUCGUAAACCCCUUUAAUUGGGAAAGAACAUAUGUGAAAUAAACUGUGCCCUUCUGAACGUAACCAAACCAAAAAACCACGCCAAACUACGG
rnacentral:rRNA from 1 species